CAACAACGGAUCUCUUGGUUCUGGCAUCAAUGAAAAACGCACCGAAAUGCGAUAAGUAAGGUGAAUUGCAAAAUUCAGUGAAUCAUCGAAUCUUUGAACGCACAUUGCGCCCGCCAGUAUUCUGGCGGGCAUGCCUGUCCGAGCGUCAUUU
rnacentral:rRNA from 1 species